GCCGGGUGUGGUGGCGCACACCUGUAAUCCCAGCACGUUGGGAGGCUGAGGCGGGUGAAUCAUUUGAGGUCAGGAGUUCAAAACCAGCCUGGCCAACAUGGUGAAACCCUGUCUUUA
rnacentral:sRNA from 1 species